GAGGCCAUAGCUCAGUGGUAGAGCAUCUGCUUCGCAUGCAGAAGGUCCCUGGUUCAAUCCCUGGCAGCUCCA